AGCAUGUGAAUAGAACAUGCAGUCAGGAAAGGUGGCCCCAGUGUGGAGAAACAAGGACAGAGCCGUCUGCAGAACGUGGACCGUGUGCAACUUUUUCAUCAGAAAGGCCACAUCUACACAAAAUGCAGGAAAGCCUGUGAGCCGGGGAGGAAGGCAUCCUGGAUGGCCAGCUGCACAGUCCAGAAUGAAAGGGGCCACGGAGCAGAUUGCUGUUUUAUGAGACUUCCAAGACAUGUCCGUGUUGUCUGGGACAGAAGUCCUCUGUUGGAUUAACAAUGUCCGCCAUGAGUAGAAGAGCAGGAGAUUGCUGACUACCCUUGAGACUGAGCAAACUUUCCUGUUUGGUAACCAUUUGGAUUUUCUCUUCUGUGAAAUGUCUAUUUAUAUCCUUUGACCAAUUAUUGGACAUUUAUGAUCAUUCUAGUUUGUUGUUAUAAAAGUUUUACGACUAACCUAAGUUUUAUCAUAGGUUGCUCUUGGUGGUAGUGGCGUGUGUUGUGCUCUAACACAGAUUUUUAGAAGCACAAUUGUUAGUGAACAUAGAUGUAUUUUGGGGGGCUUUUGACACAUACAAAACUGUCCUUAGGGAUGGUGUCAUUAGUUUACACACAUAUUUGCCAUGCACGGAAAGGCACGUGUCUGUUUGUAGCCUGUGAUACUGGGAAUAAUCUAUAGUAGUUUGAUAGUUUAAAAAUGGGUGUUCAUUUUCUGGUUCAUAUUUCUUACUUUUAAUUUACUAGUGAUGUUUACAAUUUUGUUUUAUUUAUUAGCUGUUGAUAUUCUGUCCUAUGUCUACUUCAUAUAUCAAAAAUCCUAGUCCCCCAUAUUAAACAUAAUAUCUGUCUACAUGUUAGAGAGGUAUAAUACAUUGCCACUCUGAAAUGUGAUUGCUUACGUAUAUUACAAAGUGUAACCACUUUAAUUGUUCUCUGACAGUGCCGAAACUACUGAGGUUCUUUAUUUGUUUGUUCAUUUAUUUGUUUGAAAUCAAGCUAGAAGCUUGGAUCUCCAAACUUCCCCUGUAUUUCUAGAACAUCAUGUGGUUCAUUAGAUUGUUCAAGCUUUUUAGCUUUCUAGCUCUUCCCUUCUGCCUCAAAUGAGCUACAUUUGAGCUGGAGUGUGUCUGUGUGUGUGUGAGGGGUCGGGGUGGUCAGACUGGCUUCAUUAUGGAAGAAUUUUAGAGAUUUUACAAAUAAAUUGAUCAGAGGGGUAUCUUUCAGGCUGCCAGAGCUAAAAGGAAGGUUGAAUCAGUUUCAGAUUAAGUCCUGUUUACUAAUUUAUCACCAGCUUAAGUUUGGAGGGUGCAGAAAUAGUUGCCUUGGAAUCUUGACUUGAGAAACAUGAUAAGGGACCCUAAUCCCAGCAGGUGAGCCUUUUAGGUGAAGAAUAGGAUGAAUAGUUAUGUGUUGUUCUUGCCCUGGGUAUUCGGAGGUGUUUUUACUAUUUAACCACAUAUUUUACGUGACCUUGCUGCAGACAUUGCUAACCUUGUUCCUUAUUAGAUGUGGACAAGAGGAUCCCUCUGCGAAGUCCAGGAAGCAGGUGCGGGGGCUGGGGAGGAGUGUCAGUUCCACACUGUGCUGCUGUAAUUUUAAUCCAGACAGAACCAGGAAAUUAGACUCAAGCUGAUGCAGUGAAACAGACAAAGCCACACACAUAGCUACCACACACGGCCUCUGAAGAGGACUGUUAGUUUGAAAGGCACUAUGACAUCGUGAUAAAGCAUCUGAGGAGAAAAGUCAUGAAAGCUUCACAAAUUCAUCGAGAUGCCCCAGGUUGAAGCUGGAGGGACCAGAGGAGUCCUUACAGAUGACAUCACCAAUGUUCCCACUCAGUUCUCCAAUAUAGGACAUCAUGAAGGGUCUUGGGGCCAAAGACCUGACGAGGUAACACUGUAUGUUGAUGGACCUGGAGAGUUCUCUGAUAUGCUUCACAAGCACCUGGAGUGUAGGUGGCUGCUCAAGGAUUAGGGGAUUUACAGUGCUAACACAUUUCAUAAAGCCAAGUUCCAAAAACAAAUAAAAUGAAAUGUCAAGACUUUUGAGUUAUCCUCUGUUUUUAUUUAUCUAUGUCUUAGAGCUCUAUUAUUACAGCUCUUUCAUCUCUGUGUGAUUCAGUGAUCUACUUUGAUUCAGCUAGAAUUUCCUGGGUGCCAAUACGUUCGAGGAAUAGCACUAGCUGCCUUGGCCGGGGGAGUGGAAAAUCCCAGGUGAUUCAGACAUAGCCCCAAAUGUGAGGGUUGUAACAGCUAAUUGAAGGAGAGUCUAAAUAAUACUGUGUUUUGUAAUAUAGCUCAAUAAAGGCCUGAAAAUAUAGAAUAAGAAAAAAACCUUGUACUGAGUGAAUUGAGGAGAAAACAGGAAGGAUUUUGACAGGUAGACUUGAGGAGUUGAGAGAAUUUCACAGCAUAGUCAUUGGUUUUCUGCUUGAAUGAUAUUAAGAAACAUUGGAUGUGUUAUGCUUUACAUCUAACUAGAUCUGUGGCUCUUCUCCCCAAAUUCCCUUUUCUAUGUCACUAAUAUAUCUGGAAAUUACUUUCACUGUUAUUUUCUUUUUUAUCACAAGGCAUAGCUAUAAUGCUGUGUGCAAUAUACUACUAAAGCAUAAAUUCAUAUUCCUUAAAUACAUUUUUCCUUUAGCUAAAAUGAGUAGGGGGAGCAAUGAUGAGCAAGUAUGUACAGAUUGAUAAGAAAUUAUUAUCAGAAGCGAUGCU